UACGUAGGGUGCGAGCGUUAAUCGGAAUUACUGGGCGUAAAGCGUGCGCAGGCGGUUUUCCAAGACAGAUGUGAAAUCCCCGGGCUCAACCUGGGAAUGGCAUUGGAAACUGGCUCGCUGGAGUGUGGCAGAGGGGGGUGGAAUUCCGCGUGUAGCAGUGAAAUGCGUAGAGAUGCGGAGGAACACCGAUGGCGAAGGCAGCCCCCCUGGGCUAACACUGACGCUCAGGCACGAAAGCGUGGGGAGCAAACAGG
rnacentral:rRNA from 1 species